GGAAUCUGGGAGGACCAUCUCCUAAGGCUAAAUACUCUCUAGUGACCGAUAGUGAACCAGUACCGUGAGGGAAAGGUGAAAAGCACCCCGGAAGGAGAGUGAAAUAGAACCUGAAACCGUGUGCUUACAAGUAGUCAGAGCCCGUUAAUGGGUGAUGGCGUGCCUUUUGUAGAAUGAACCGGCGAGUUACGAUUUGAUGCAAGGUUAAGCAGUAAAUGUGGAGCCGUAGCGAAAGCGAGUCUGAAUAGGGCGUUUAGUAUUUGGUCGUAGACCCGAAACCAGGUGAUCUACCCUUGGUCAGGUUGAAGUUCAGGUAACACUGAAUGGAGGACCGAACCGACUUACGUUGAAAAGUGAGCGGAUGAACUGAGGGUAGCGGAGAAAUUCCAAUCGAACCUGGAGAUAGCUGGUUCUCUCCGAAAUAGCUUUAGGGCUAGCCUCAAGUGAUGAUUAUUGGAGGUAGAGCACUGUUUGGACGAGGGGCCCCUCUCGGGUUACCGAAUUCAGACAAACUCCGAAUGCCAAUUAAUUUAACUUGGGAGUCAGAACAUGGGUGAUAAGGUCCGUGUUCGAAAGGGAAACAGCCCAGACCACCAGCUAAGGUCCCAAAAUAUAUGUUAAGUGGAAAAGGAUGUGGCGUUGCCCAGACAACUAGGAUGUUGGCUUAGAAGCAGCCAUCAUUUAAAGAGUGCGUAAUAGCUCACUAGUCGAGUGACACUGCGCCGAAAAUGUACCGGGGCUAAACAUAUUACCGAAGCUGUGGAUUGUCCUUUGGACAAUGGUAGGAGAGCGUUCUAAGGGCGUUGAAGCAUGAUCGUAAGGACAUGUGGAGCGCUUAGAAGUGAGAAUGCCGGUGUGAGUAGCGAAAGACGGGUGAGAAUCCCGUCCACCGAUUGACUAAGGUUUCCAGAGGAAGGCUCGUCCGCUCUGGGUUAGUCGGGUCCUAAGCUGAGGCCGACAGGCGUAGGCGAUGGAUAACAGGUUGAUAUUCCUGUACCACCUAUAAUCGUUUUAAUCGAUGGGGGGACGCAGUAGGAUAGGCGAAGCGUGCGAUUGGAUUGCACGUCUAAGCAGUAAGGCUGAGUAUUAGGCAAAUCCGGUACUCGUUAAGGCUGAGCUGUGAUGGGGAGAAGACAUUGAGUCUUCGAGUCGUUGAUUUCACACUGCCGAGAAAAGCCUCUAGAUAGAAAAUAGGUGCCCGUACCGCAAACCGACACAGGUAGUCAAGAUGAGAAUUCUAAGGUGAGCGAGCGAACUCUCGUUAAGGAACUCGGCAAAAUGACCCCGUAACUUCGGGAGAAGGGGUGCUCUUUAGGGUUAACGCCCAGAAGAGCCGCAGUGAAUAGGCCCAAGCGACUGUUUAUCAAAAACACAGGUCUCUGCUAAACCGUAAGGUGAUGUAUAGGGGCUGACGCCUGCCCGGUGCUGGAAGGUUAAGAGGAGUGGUUAGCUUCUGCGAAGCUACGAAUCGAAGCCCCAGUAAACGGCGGCCGUAACUAUAACGGUCCUAAGGUAGCGAAAUUCCUUGUCGGGUAAGUUCCGACCCGCACGAAAGGCGUAACGAUUUGGGCACUGUCUCAACGAGAGACUCGGUGAAAUCAUAGUACCUGUGAAGAUGCAGGUUACCCGCGACAGGACGGAAAGACCCCGUGGAGCUUUACUGUAGCCUGAUAUUGAAAUUCGGCACAGCUUGUACAGGAUAGGUAGGAGCCUUUGAAACGUGAGCGCUAGCUUACGUGGAGGCGCUGGUGGGAUACUACCCUAGCUGUGUUGGCUUUCUAACCCGCACCACUUAUCGUGGUGGGAGACAGUGUCAGGCGGGCAGUUUGACUGGGGCGGUCGCCUCCUAAAAGGUAACGGAGGCGCUCAAAGGUUCCCUCAGAAUGGUUGGAAAUCAUUCAUAGAGUGUAAA
rnacentral:rRNA from 1 species